UAGGGAAUCUUCGGCAAUGGGGGGAACCCUGACCGAGCAACGCCGCGUGAGUGAAGAAGGUUUUCGGAUCGUAAAGCUCUGUUGUUAAGGAAGAACGAGUGUGAGAAUGGAAAGUUCAUGCUGUGACGGUACUUAACCAGAAAGGGACGGCUAACUACGUGCCAGCAGCCGCGGUAAUACGUAGGUCCCGAGCGUUGUCCGGAUUUAUUGGGCGUAAAGCGAGCGCAGGCGGUUAGAAAAGUCUGAAGUGAAAGGCAGUGGCUCAACCAUUGUAGGCUUUGGAAACUGUUUAACUUGAGUGCAGAAGGGGAGAGUGGAAUUCCAUGUGUAGCGGUGAAAUGCGUAGAUAUAUGGAGGAACACCGGUGGCGAAAGCGGCUCUCUGGUAUGUAACUGACGCUGAGGCUAGAAAGCGUGGGGAGCGAACAGG
rnacentral:rRNA from 1 species